rnacentral:rRNA from 1 species
GAUGAACGCUGGCGGCGUGCUUAACACAUGCAAGUCGAACGGAAAGGCCUCUGCUUGCAGGGGUACUCGAGUGGCGAACGGGUGAGUAACACGUGGGUGAUCUGCCCUGCACUUCGGGAUAAGCCUGGGAAACUGGGUCUAAUACCUGAUAGGACAAUGGGUUGGAUGCUGUUGUGGAAAGUUUUUCGGUGUGGGAUGAGCUCGCGGCCUAUCAGCUUGUUGGUGGGGUAAUGGCCUACCAAGGCGUCGACGGGUAGCCGGCCUGAGAGGGUGUACGGCCACAUUGGGACUGAGAGACGGCCCAGACUCCGACGGGAGGCAGCAGUGGGGAAUAUUGCACAAUGGGCGCAAGCCUGAUGCAGCGACGCCGCGUGGGGGAUGACGGCCUUCGGGUUGUAAACUCCUUUCGCUAGGGACGAAGCGUUUUUGUGACGGUACCUGGAGAAGAAGCACCGGCUAACUACGUG